AGAACACACAGUGGGCCUCAGGAGCACCGGAAUCAGCGCGAAAACGCAGAAUGCAAACCGUACUUUGCACCAUUAUUUGCAACUUGACAGUGACCGCCGCCGUCACUGCAUGUUUAAGGGAACCCGGAGCUGUUUCCAACCCAGGUCUGACGUCCUUCACAGUGCUUUGUGUGAACUGGCAGGGGGAGAAACGACGGCUGGGGAACGAACGGGGUUAUUCGUCCCAUCAAUGGCCUCAGAAGCAUCCUUAUCACCUGCUUCCAGAGCUCCCGACCCAAAUUUCCUCCUCAAGACCGACGCGGCCGCGACGCUGCAAAAGCUCGUCCCGGCCUCACCUGGCUCGCGGCCGGCGGUCCCCCUUGAAGGCGGCGCAGCAGGAUCGGGGUCUGCCCGCCUGGGGCGUUUGGCUUUUGUCCCGCGCCGAGGUCCGGCCCAGGAGUGCGCUUGGGAGCUCCCGGCGCGGCCUCGGGGACAAAGGCCCGCGGAGCCGACGUGCAGCAGAGUUCACCCAGGCCCGUCCGACCAGAAAACGAAGAACGCCCGGAGGCGGGAGGCCGGAGGCAGGCUGCUGGCUGGAGAACCGACGGCAACGACGGCGCAAAGCCGGCGCGGAAAGGGCAGGCGCAGGACCCACCCUGACGCCGCCUCUCCCAGCCGGCUCUCCUGACCCCCCAAGCCCCGCAGCUACGGCGGCCCCACAGCCUGAGCAAAGGCCUCACCUCAGCCGCGGACAAUGGCGGCUGCUUCCCCGGCGUCGACCGGAGCGCGCCGCGGGGUCUGCUGGGAGCUGUAGUUCCAGGCGGGCACUUCCGGCGUCGGGCAGCGGCGCCGCCAUGACAGGUUCCUGGGCCGCGCCGCCUCGCCCUGCCUGGGCGGGGUUGGGACCUUUCUGGCACCUGCGUCGAAGCCGGCGGCAGGAUGGACUUUGUUGUCCCGGUCCCAGACCACCCUCCUCCACCGUCGCCUCCCACUGCAAAAAGGCCUGGAUAAGGAACCUAAUUCGAGCUACCCUUCUCUGUGAAGCUCGACGGCUGAGAACGUCAGGGCUCGUUCCCAAGUCUCUUUCCAGAGGCCAGGCUUUAUGGGAGCAUGGGUUACCAGCGACGCACCCUGUGAGGAUGCAGUGUCCAAGGCACCAUCUUGAACUCAUCAUCGCCAAAUAUGUGAGCACCUUGAUGUUGGACUUCCCAACCUCCAGACCGUAAGGCAGUACAUUUCUUUGUAAAUUACGCAGUCUCAGCUAUUCUGUUACAGCAGCACAAAUGGACUAAGACAACCCCCGAGAUAGGAAGGGGUAAGGUAAAUGCAAUGAGAGUUGGGGUUUUCGAUCUUAGUCCAGUAAAGGAGCUGGAACUGUUCUGUAUAAACAAAGGGCAAGGUAAUUGCUACAUAGAUUCUUUUCUUAUUAUUGCUGAUUCUUAUCCUAAAAUAAAGGACAUUGCCACUACACAUCCUCUAGAAUGACCAAAAAUAAAAAUACAGCAUCAAAUGGGACGACAUGGUGCCAACUGGAAUUCUCAUACCCUGCUGAUGGGAGUAUAAUGUGGUACAGUCACUUUGGAAAAAAGUUUGACAAUUUCUUAUAAAAUUAUACAUAAACCUGUACUAUGACCUAGAGAUUCUACUCCUGUUUGUUCAAAAGAAAGGCAAACAUCUGUCCACUAAAAGAUAUGUACAAGAAUGCUCACAGUGGCAUUAUUUAUGACGGUCCAAACCAGGAGAUAAUCCAAAUGUCUGUAACCAAGAGAAUGGAUAAAGAAAUUUUGAUACGUCAAUUUAAUGGAUUACUACUUAGCAAUAAAAAUAAUUAGCCAUGCUGGGCGCGGUGGCUUAUGCCUGUAAUCCCAGCACUUUGGGAGGCUGAGGCAGGUGGAUCACCUGAGGUUGGGAGUUCAAGACCAGCCUGACCAACAUGGAGAACCCCCGUCUCUACUAAAAUACAAAAUUAGCCGGGGUGGUGGCGCAUGCCUGUAAUCCCAGCUACUCGGGAGGCUGAGGCAGGAGAAUCACUUGAACCCGGGAGGUGGAGGUUGCAUUGAGCCGAGAUUGCGCCAUUGCACUCCAGCAUGGGCAAAAAGAGCAAAACUCCGUCUCAAAAAAAUAAAUAAAUAAUAAUUAGCCACAUAUCCACACAACAAUAUUGCAUUAUCACAGGUAUAGUGAUAAAUACUGUAUGAUUCCAUUUAUAUGAAGUUCAAGAACAGGCAAGUAAUCCAUGAUGAAAGAAGUACUUACCUCUGGGGGUGGCAGCAUUGACUAAAGAGGUACAAGGGAGUCUUCUGGGGCCUGGAAAUGUUCUAUAUCUUGAUCUGGGUGGUGGUUACACAGGUAUACGCGUGUUAAGAAAUCAUCAGGCUGUAUACUUAGUGUACUGUAAUGGCAUUACACUGUCUUUCAAUUAAAAUGUGAAAGAAAAAACGGGGGUGUCUUUUGCUUCCACAUUUGUAGCCCCAGCUUCUGUAUCUCCUGCGUGAUAAUGGUUGGAUGAAUUAAAAGGUAGGAGGAAUAGAAGAGGAGAAAAGCAAUAGGAAGAGGAAGGCUGGAAGAAAAGCCCAGCUCCACUGUCUCACUUGGGUGUCACUGGGUACUGGGGAAUUUGGAAGCACUAGGGAACAGAGAGGAAGGUGCUCCCUUAGGCUUCCACUUCUCAGCCCAGUAGUGAGAGGCUAUGAAGCUGUUGCCCCCUGGUGGGGGACAAGUGAGACCAGUGAGAGAGGGUUUUUGCCUUAGAAUUGCCCCUUCCCUGGAGACAGCAGCAAGAUGAAGGCCUCUCAAGAAGUGCUUCAUCCUCUGGAAACCAGCGGAGGAAAUGACUUUCCCAAGAGAAGGAUCAUACAUCACUCAAUCAUCAGCAAACAUUUAUGAAGCACCUGCUCUGUGCCAGACCCUAAAGUGAAAAAAAACAAACACUGCACUUACGGAAGCACGAGAUAAACAAUAAACAUAAGUAAAUUAAAGAGUAGUUAGAAGGCAACAACUUUGGAAGAAAGAAAAAAGAGUAGGUGAUGUAGUGCCCAGAUGGGAAGGGCAAGUUGCCGUAUAAAAUUGGGUGCUAAGAGUGAGUCAGAGUCACCUCAUUGAGGUGACAUCUGAACAAGGACUGGAAAGAAGGGAUGCAGAUGGCUGGGCGCGGUGCCUCACGCCUGUAAUCCCAGCACUUUGGGAGGCCAAGGCGGGCGGAUCACAAGGUCAGGAGAUCAAGACCAUCUUGGCUAACAUGGUGAAACCCCAUCUCUACUAAAAUCCAAAAAAUUAGCCAGGCGUGGUGACGGGCUCCUGUAGUCCCAGCUACUCGGGAGGCUGAGGCAGGAGAAUGGCGUGAACCUGGGAGACGGAGCUUGCAGUGAGCCGAGAUCGCGCCACUGCACUCUAGCCUAGGCAACAGAGCAAGACUCCGUCUAAAUAAAUAAAUAAAUAAAAAUAAGAGAUGCAGACAUCGGAGGGAAGAGCUAGAACAAAAGCCCUGGUGUGAGGGCCUGCCUAGUCAGCUGCGGGAACAACAGUGGUCAUAGAGGCAAUAAGGGGGCCAGAUGGUAGAGAAAGUUGAAGGCAUCAUGAGGGCUCUGGCAGGGUUCUGAGUAGAGCAUUGAUGAGCUCUAGCCUCUGUAUGGAGAGUAACCAAGGAAAGCAGUAGAGUCAUGUGUGAAACCAAUGUAGUAAUUAGGUGGAAGAUGAUAGCCGCUCGGAUCAGAUUGGUGAUCAGUGGCUGGAUUGCGGACAUGCUGAUACUUUAAAGGUAGAGCCAACAGACCGUAGGUUCAAGGUUUUGCAUCAUAAGGGGCAAUAUAGCCUGUAAUGUUCAGAAGGAGUCAAGAAAUAAAGGAGGCCUCUCAAUACAGAGCUAUUCACCAAGGGCCUUGAUGGGGAGGAAGUAAGUUGCAAGUGUGUGGAGAUACUGCUCCCUUCUGGCCCAAGCUCCCUCCCACUCCAGUUACCCAGUGUUGCGGGCAGCACCCUAUUCUCUUCUGGGAGGUAGCGGAGGCAGAGCCACACCAUCAUUUUGGAUGCACCUAUUAUGGGAGGCUGGAGUGCAAUGGUGCCAUCUUGGCUCACUACAACCUCCGCCUCCCAGGUUCAAGGGAUUCUGCCUCAGCCUCCUGAGUAACUGGGGUUACAGGCGCGCGAUACCACGCCUGGCUAAUUUUUCUAUUUUUAGUAGAGAUGGGGUUUCGCCAUGUUGGCCACGCUGGUCUUAAACUCCUGACCUCAAGUGAUCCGCCCGCCUUGGUCUUCCAAAGUGCUGGGAUUACAGGUGUGAGUCACCGUGCCCAGCCUGGACUUGCCUUUUACCUCAUCCGUGGUGUCUUUUGAAGAAAAAGAUUCUUUAGAAAUGUUUUUUCUUUCAUAGCUUGUGUUUUAUGUAUUACUUUCAAGAUCCCAACUAGAUCUAGGUCCUAAAAAUAGUAUCCUACCUAUUGUUUUUUUAAUCAACUUAAUUGUGGUAUAAUUGCACACUGCAGAUAAACUGCACAUGUUUGAAGUGAGUAAUGUAAGUUUUUUUGUCUUGGAGCCCUGAGGUAAACUUUUAUUUCUUAGCUGACAGGACUUCCACACCCAUGCUCCUCUCGGCACCUUUCACCCAGCCCAAGCAGCGGCGGCCCAGUGGUGGAAAAGGUGCCACGGCCAAACGGAUUGGAGACUCACCCCGCAUUCUAGGCCGGAGAAGCGGGCGGGCUUGGGAUGCCGGCAGGAGGCAAUGACUCUCCCCAGGCGCUGCAUCCUGGCUCCGGGGCACAAGCGCCUCUCCGCCCUGACGCUGAUGCUCGUCUGGCUGCCCGUUCUUUGGCAUCAAAAUACCAGACGAUGGUGGCGCACCCUGUGGCCUGGGCUGCCUCACCUCAUUCGGUCCCGCCUAGAAAGACCAGAGGACCAGAAAACCAGAAGCCUGUCAGAGCGACUAGAGGCUGGCUCCAGCCAACAGCCGCGCGCCUCAGCGUCCACGAGGGUUACCUGGGUAACGCGCCGCUUGGGCUCGGCGCCCAGCCGAUGACGUAACCCGCGCUUGCGUAGUGGCGCCGCCCUGAUGUGUAGUCUCCAGGCCGCCCCGAACACCAGCCCAGCGGGUCCUGGACCCCUAGGUCAUGUGGCUACAGUGGAAUCCAGGCUUGGCCGAAUCCAGGACGACCAGGCCAGACCCACCGGCAGUACCUUGCCCGCCCGCUUUAGUCACUUGCUCUAGGUGGAUCUAAACCUCUAGGCCUGGGCGCGGUGGCUCACGCUUGUAAUCCCGGCACUUUAGGAGGGCAAGGCGGCAGAAUCGCUUGAGCCCCCGGCAGCAUGGAGAGGUGGCAGAGGCAGGGCCAUACCAUCAUCUUGGGUGCACCUAUUAUGGGAGGCUGGAGUGCAAUGGUGCCAUCUUGGCUCACUGCAACCUCCGCCCCCCAGGUUCAAGCGAUUCUGCCUCAGCCUCCUGAGUAACUGGGAUCAUAGGCGCACGCUACCACGCCCGGCUAAUUUUUCUAUUUUUAGUAGACAUGGGGUUUCGCCACCCCCGGCAGCAUGGGUAGACAUGGCCCUCCCGCCUGAUCUCUUAAAAAAACUUUAAAUAAUUCGUGGGGGGGGUUACCGCCCACCUGUUUUCCCAGCUACUCCGGAGGCUGCGGUGGAAGGAUCACCUGAGCCCAGGAGGUCAAGACUGCAGUGAGCUAUGAUCCUGCCACUGCACUCCAGCCUGGGCGACAGCGUGAGAUCCUGUCUCCAAAAUAAAUAAAAUUAUGUACAUAUGUAUGUAUAUUUAAUUACAUAUAUUUUGUAUAAUUUGUAUAUAGUUUAUAAUAUAUACAUGUAUGUGUACACAUACAUAAAUAUAUGCGUAAAUAUAUAUAUGCAUAUAUAUAUGUAAUAAAAUAUUAAGAACCCGCCCAGCCGAAGCCACGGGCGCUUUGGGCCCUCGGUUGGCCUCAGCCACUUCAGUCGCGGCCCCGGGGAUGUUGGGGGAACCCUGUCAGGCAGCAAGCGCGUCCUCCAGCCCCGGGCGGCCGGCGGCUGUGCACCCGCCCUCCCUCCCUCCCACGGCGCUCGCCUGCAUGCGUUUUGGCAAAUAUCUAAACCCGCAAAACCAUCACUAGCUCUGGUUUCCCAAGAUCCUUGAAGCCCCUCCGUUCAGCAUUCCACGCCCCUCUCUGCCCUGCUUUCAAACCACCGCCAAUCUGCUUUCUGUUAUAUAUACAGAUUAGUUUGGAUUUUCUAACAGUUGUAUAUAAAUGCAGUGACACAUUUGAGUGUACUCUUUUGUGAUCUGGUUUAUUUUACUCAGCAUAAUUAUUUUGAGAUUAUCCAUUUUGUUGCAUAUGUAAGUAGCUCAUUCCUUCUAUUGCUGAGUGGUGUUCCAUCUCAUGGAUGCACCACCAUUGUUUAUCACGCAUCUGUCCGUGGACAUGUAAACUGUUUUCUAUUUGCGGCUGUUAAAAAUAAACUUCUGUGAACAUUCGUGUACAA
ensembl:lncRNA ZNF606-AS1 ZNF606 antisense RNA 1